rnacentral:rRNA from 1 species
UACAGGGGGGCAAGCGUUGUUCGGAAUUACUGGGCGUAAAGGGUCUGUAGGUGGCCAACUAAGUCAGACGUGAAAUCCCUCAGCUUAACCUGGGGAACUGCGUCCGAUACUGGAUGGCUUGGAUUCGGGAGAGGAAUGCGGAAUUCCAGGUGUAGCGGUGAAAUGCGUAGAUAUCUGGAGGAACACCGGUGGCGAAGGCGGCGAUUCUGGACCGACAUUGACGGCUGAGGAGCGAAAGCCAGGGGAGCAAACGGGAUUGAGAUACCCCG